rnacentral:rRNA from 1 species
UGACGAUGGACAUUGCAAAGAGUGGCGAACGGGUGAGUAACACGUGGGAAACCUACCUCUUAGCAGGAAAUAACAUUUGGAAACAGAUGCUAAUACCGUAUAACAAUGACAACCGCAUGGUUGUUAUUUAAAAGAUGGUUCUGCUAUCACUAAGAGAUGGUCCCGCGGUGCAUUAGCUAGUUGGUAAGGUAAUGGCUUACCAAGGCGAUGAUGCAUAGCCGACCUGAGGGGGUAAUCGGCCACACUGGGACUGAGACACGGCCCAGACUCC